CAACCCAGCGGCCGCUCACCUGUUCCAGCCGCCGCAGCCUCGGCGGUCACACGCCGCCCGCCCGCCCAGACCUCCCCUCCUCUGUCCCCAGAGCGCACGACGCCGCGGGGACAGCUUCCCGAGCGCCUUCCCCGUCCCGCUUCUCUCCAGCCCACCGCAGCCCCCUUUCUUCCCAGCUCCCCCACUCCGUGGGCGCCCACACUGCACCUUCGCCGGCUGCGUGCGUCCCGCCUCGGUGCCCUCACUCGGUCCUCCUGAGCCGCCUUCCCUUUCAUACCCAGCCCGUAGAAUUGUCCCUGGGUCUUAACAACUCAUUUGUAACUGAUCCAGGUCUCCUCCCUCUGCUUCCUCAAACCCAGGCUUCGCUGCCUCUGCGGAGUUCUUACCUGUCUCUCCUUUCCACCCGGGUUCCCUGGAGGAAGCUAAACUCAGACCAAGGCCCUGGGCUCCCCAGGAGUUAAAAGGGAAUACGCUGUCCCAAGAUUCUAGAAUGAAGAGUCAACAUAGCCCGAGUGGCUUAAACCUCCUGUCCUUAAAUGCAAGAAAUGUUUUCUAUCGAGCCCUGCCUGGACAGGUGUCUCUGCUGGCCUGGGGUUUUCAACAGGUCAUGCCUGCCUCAGACCCCAGGGACAAAUGUUCUUCCAGCUCUAACUCAUUCUAUGCUUUAAGCUUUUGACCUAUCUUUGUUUUCCCAGUGCCACACCAAAUGCUGCCUGGGGAUCUCUCUUUCUUCCUGAGUUCCCAUAUAAGAAGCCCCCCAUUUAAGAAUUCAGUUGGAAUGGGUUGUAUUUCAAAAGUUGCUUUGCAAGUUAGUUAUUUGGAUUUCAAGUUGCAUUUUUCCAGGGUAACAAUAUUAUAAUGAUUGUUUACCUUCCCAGACCAAUCCAGAAAUGCCCACAUAACCCAUGUCACACCUGAUUCCAACCUGAGUUCUUCUAUCCUUGAACCUCUCAAGCUUUCCCCUAACUCUAAGCAGGUCUCAUGGUCCACUCAAGGUGUUUCAUGCUUCUCAGUUACGUCCCCUUCCCACUGCUGUCUACCCUCUCUCCAAACACAGCACAAAACAAACCCACAACAGUUCUGUUAAUUCCUGAAGUAAACCCAACCCAGCAAGGUGUUGAGAGGAAAUAAAUCUUACUGAACACA
rnacentral:antisense_RNA from 1 species